UACGUAGGGGGCAAGCGUUAUCCGGAUUUACUGGGUGUAAAGGGAGCGUAGACGGCGUGCCAAGUCUGGUGUGGAAGGCCGGGGCUCAACUCCGGGACUGCAUUGGAAACUGGCAUGCUGGAGUGCUGGAGAGGCAAGCGGAAUUCCUAGUGUAGCGGUGAAAUGCGUAGAUAUUAGGAAGAACACCAGUGGCGAAGGCGGCUUGCUGGACAGUAACUGACGUUGAGGCUCGAAAGCGUGGGGAGCAAACAGG
rnacentral:rRNA from 1 species